rnacentral:rRNA from 1 species
CCUACGGGUGGCAGCAGUGAGGAAUAUUGGUCAAUGGACGCAAGUCUGAACCAGCCAUGCCGCGUGCAGGAAGACGGCUCUAUGAGUUGUAAACUUCUUUUGUAGGGGGGUAAAUCACGCUACGUGUGUCGGUUCGAAAGUAUCGUACGAAUAAGGAUCGGCUAACUCCGUGCCAGCAGCCGCGGUAAUACGGAGGGUUCAAGCGUUAUCCGGAUUUAUUGGGUUUAAAGGGUGCGUAGGCGGAACGAUAAGUUAGAGGUGAAAGCCCGGGGCUCAACCCCGGAAGUGCCGUUGAUACUGGCUGGCUAGAGUUGAGGUGCGGUAGGCGGAAUGUAUGGUGUAGCGGUGAAAUGCAUAGAGAUCACGCAGAACACCGAUUGCGAAGGCAGCUUACCAAACUACGACUGACGUUGAGGCACGAAAGCGUGGGGAGCAAACAGGAUUAGAUACCCUAGUAGUC